CAAAAAGAUGGAAUAUGUGAAUAUUAUAUUAUGUCAGUUAGGGCAUAUUUUAACUUGUUCUCUCAAGCAUAUUCCUUAUUUUACAGGCUGUGGCUACUCUGAUUGUAAAAAAGAGGUAAUGCUUUGACAUGCAACUUUUAGACUGUUAGGAUAGUCCCUGGCAUAGUUUUGAGUCAUGUGAGUGAGUGCUUGCACAGGCAGUAUCCAUGUAGUUUGGAGCUUAGUAAGGGCUACAACCCACUCCUAACAGGCCAUUUGAAAAAAGCCUUUCUGGUUUGGGCAGUUGCAGAGUUUAAUUCUGGGGACAUGAACUGUUCUGAGUCAGAGACAAGUCCCUGCCUUGUAUUUACUGUUCCACAGAGGUAACCAUAGCAGUCAUAGUGGUUACAGGGUUAUGCAAACUUCUCAUAUUAAAGAAAGGCUCUAGUAAAACGUUUUAUUUGUGGCUAGAUAAUCUAUUUUCAAUUAUUUGCCCAUGGAGAGGCUUUUGUGAGCAGCAUUUAUUUUUCCAGCUAAACCUGGGAUGAACAAAAAAAAUCACAUAAAAUAAAGACAGAGAGGUAUCUCAGCUGCCAUUGAAAAUCUGGAAAACCUGGAUCUGCCCACUCCAUCAUGCUGCAGAUAUUCUGUUUCAGGACAUUACUCUUGAAUUUCCAUCUCAACAGAACAUCAUCUUUGUUUGCUGGUGGCACAUAUAAUUUCCUGGACUACGAAAACGUAAAUUCAAAUCUGCUGCAAGGAGAAGAACAAACGGAGAAGACUGGCUUACCUAAGCAAUCAGGAUGACUAGUAUGGACAAUAAUUUCCUUUGGAGGAGAAAAACUGGCAUGACUCGGCCUGACUCUUCAACAAGGAUGGAUCCUUCAGUGAUCCAACCUCCUUCAGUGCCACUGAAACAAAAACUCUGUGAUAUCUCUGAAGAUCCUGAUGAGAAUGGAUGUAUCCAUGUUUCAAUGGCUAAUCAAUUUUCUCCCAUGCCAUUCUGUGUAUUAUAAUGAGCAAUUAUUUUCUCCUUAAGGCUCAGUUCUAUUUUGUCAUAUCUUUAAUAGGCACAAUUGACUUCUCAUAGAGAGAGCAAAGCUUUUCCUAAGAUAAAGAAAUAUCUUCCUGUAAUUUGAGACUGUCCCUUCAAGAUUAAAAGCUUUUUAGAAUAGCAACUGACAUCUUGAAAGGAUUAUUUAAUUCUAGUCUAAGACAGGCCUGCAGAAUUUCAGACACCCUUAGAAACACACAGGUUUCGCCUUUCAUAAAUAAUUCAAUAUUGCCAGGCAAGACGUUUGGGCAUGGAAGUUUAAUCAGCUGUGAAACUGUUUAUAUAUUUUAAAAUUUCUAGUAUGGCCCUUAGGGUGAGUUUGGCCCAAGUCAAAAUACAGUCUCAAACAGUAUUUAAACUGGAAUCAUGAAUUUAUAUAGACCAGAAUCCAUUCCUCACAGGUAAUUUCAUGCAGUUUGUUUUGAAUGGUAAAAGAGUUUAUUAUUACUAUGUAAUAAAUAACUAUAGACUGUGUUCUGCCAGCUGGCUUCAGUGCCAGAGAUCUGGAACAAGCUUUUCACUAAUCUUGUUCCACAAAGAGAUCCCAUUUGUCUAUAGCUACUUGCCCUCUUCCUCUACUCCUGUGACUCUUCUUUUUCCUCAAGAUUUGUUUUGAUUAACCUGUUUUCCUGUCCAUCAUUGAGAUACUUUAGGAAUUACAAGAAAAUCUUCUUAGAAUUAAAAAGAAAAGUCAUAGGAAAACAAGAGUUCAUCAAGAAUCUUAAAUAAGAAAUUCAGCCUUGGGUCAUAUAGAGCAUGUCCAGAAAAGGGCAAUGAAGCUGGUGAAGGACCUUGAGUGUGAGUGUAUGAAGAGCAGCUGAGAGAGCUGGGGUGGUUUAGCCUGGACAAAAGGAGGCUCAGAGGGGAUCCUAUUGCUCUCUACAGCUGCCUGAAAGGAGGCUGUAGCCAGGUAGGGAUUGGUCUCCUUUCUCUGGCAACUAGCAAUAGGACAAGAGGACAAGGCUUCAACUCACACCAGGAGAGGUUCAGCGUGGACGUCAGGAAGAAUUUCUUCACUGAAAGAGUUGUCAAGCAUUGGAAUGAGCUGCUCCGGGAGGUGUUGGAGUCACUGUGCCUGAAGGUCUUUAAGAAAUGACUGGAUCUGGCACUUAAUGCUAUGGUUUAGUUUGUAUGGUGGUAAUUGGCCAAAGGUUGUACUCGAUGAGCAUGAAGGUUUUUUCAACCUUAAUAAUUAUAUUAACUGUUAUAACUGUUAUAUAUUAUUAUUAUUAACUCUCAAUUAUAAUAUUAACAGUACUGCUGCUCUACUGUUCUUGUAAGAACCAAAAAAAAAUACUUGUGGGACAGAGAUUAUUGUUUUUCAUCCUUGAGAGGCAUAGGAAUUUUUGUUACAUGCAAACAUCACAAAGGUUAGCAAAUCUUGUAGUCUACUGUAUGAAAAUCCAUUGUGCUGAUUAGCAUGAUUAUUGUGUGAUUUUUCCUGCAGUAAUUAUCCAUCAUUAAUGAAAGAGGAAAGCAGGAAACAUUCAUAUCCUGUAGUACAAUGGACUAAUUUGCAAAAUCUGUUAACAGGAAGUUACAGCAAUAUAAAAUAUCACUCCUAAAUAAGAUGAGAUAAAAUAUUGAUGUUUUCCUUUUUUAAAACACUUUUUAAAGCAACUCCAAAGGAUGUAUCAAUAUACACACACCUAUUAAAAUAGUCCUGCAAUGCCAGAUUUUUAGAAUGUAAUAAAAAUGACAAUUAGAUAUUUAUUUCUAGUGUCAAAUAAGAUUGGUUAGAGAAAAUGCAGACAAAGCAGCAAACCCACAUCUAUUCCAGAUUAUAUGGCUGCGAACUAGUAUAAGUUAUAUAUGUUUAAAACUAGUACGUAAAUAUAAAUAUACAUAUAAGAACUGUACUAGAAAAGUAUUGGGGAUUGAUCUUGUGUUUAUUGAAAUCUGUAGGAUAUUGUAUCUGGAUAUUAUUGUAAUGGACUAUAUUUUACUCCUGUGUGGGUUUUUUUGCCAUUUGGGUUUUUUUUUGUUGUUGUUGUUGCUGUUCAUUUUGUUGUUGUUUUGUUUUUUGCCAUCCAGCUAUUAAAUUCCAGAUAUUAUUCCCAUGACAGUGACUGAAUUCAAGAAGAUGCUGUUUCAUAAUCUUGAAUCAUAGUCUUCACUAUUAGUGAAGUUUUUAGUUUGUCCAGCAUAACUGUUUCCAAGCUAUUCAUUGUUACAUAGUAAUUUUAUGUUUUAAACUACAAGUUUGACACAAAUAAUUUGUCCUUUCAAAAUAACCUAAAUAUAAUUUAAAUUUGAUUUCUGGUGCAUUUUAAUCCACAUGGACACAUACUAGCAGAUCAACUUUUGAAAUGGCAUUUUUUGAAAUGGCACAGUGAGUUUUGUUUCCCUUUUAUUUUCUUCUUACAGGAAAAGAAGGUCACCCAGGAUAUACUUCACAUAAAAAAAAAGUUCAACUUGCUGUGUAAAAGGCUACACAACAUGCUGAACUAUAUAUAGAAUCCAAACUAAUUUUUUAAUCUAAACAAAGGAAAUUGUGCAUCUGAUUUAAAGUUUUAGUUGACAAUGGUAACAUUUACUAACUAACAUCUUUGAUUCUGUUCACACAGACAAUAUUUAACAGAUUUCAUUUGGAAGAUAAUGUAUAUGGUCAGGCUUUAAAGGUAUUUUCUGCCAUUUUAAUAUCUUUCUCAUUACAUUUUUUUCAUAUUUGUGGCUAGACUGCUUAAAAAUAAACUUUCUCAGCAUAUAGCUAGGACACAUAAGUGUUUAUACAAAAAAUUUUCCCUAUUAUCAUAGACUGGUUAUGCUCAGAUAAAGAACUAGGUAUGUCUCUGAACUAGGUAAGUUUAUUGCAUCUUUCUGAUUAAGAAAUUUAUAUUACAGAAUAUAUACAAAUAUUUCCACAGUAGGUAGAUUCAUCUUGACCAUAAAUCACAGAACGCUACAGCAGAGUCAUUAAUUACCAAGAAAAGAUAGUUCAUAUUAGGAAUCUAGCCAUCUGUAGUUGUGUCAAUCUUCAUUUCAAACCUGGACUUAACAUAAAAAGCUUCUCCCAUUUUACUCACUAAUUUUGAAUGCCUUUUUACUUCAAGACCCUCACUUGUUGUUGUAGACACAUUUUGACACCACACCAUGGUCCACUGGCUGCUCUUCCCCCUAGCACUGGUAUCAGGGGAGCCACAACUUCCAAGCAGACAAUGGAAACAGGGAAGGAGGAUGAGCUGUGGUGAUCCUCUGGGUCACGGUGCAGGCUGGGGGCAAGAACGAGAGGGAGGCUCUCUGGAUUAUUUCAUCCAAGGCUCACUCACUUGAAGGGACAAGGCAGGAGGGGCAAUCUGAACCAGUGAACAUCGGUUAUAUAGAGGGGAGGAUCAGGGGGUGGAAACUUGGGCACAACCAAUCCGAGAGAGGGAUGGGAGGAGAACAACUCAAACUGACAUGGUUUCCGAAUUAAUAGGGAAAACAGGGGGAGGAGGAAAGGUCACUGGACUAAUGGGGCAUGGAGGAACAGGGGAAUGCCCAGGCAGGGUUUAGGCAGGGGCUGGGUCUCAGGAACGACUGGCAGGGAACAAUCUGGAAAAAGGGGCAGGGUAGGACUUGAGGGACAGUUCCAGGGAGGUACAAUUUAUGGACAAACCAUCAGUUUAACAAUAACGGGGGUUACAGAACAUACCACUCAAAUCAAGAUAACAUUCUUAAAGCACACCGCUACACAUUUAAUUCCAUGAGGAAGUUUUUACAAGAAAUGGACUCAGUUAACAUUUCUCAUCUUGUGGAUCAAUUUCUCUCUGAUACUGUCUUUCUCUUUCCUAAUGUUAAGAUAGAAGACUACUUCCAGAAGAGAAAACAUCUGUUUGACCAGAGAACUAUUGAAAUCUCAGCCCAGAAAUGUAUAUUGCUGCCAUAUAAUUUCAUCUUGUUAAGGGUACCCCACAGCUGCAGUCUUCAAACUGGGGUGCCUGCACCCCAGAGGUGCACAGUCCAUUAGAGAUAGGGAAGAAAAUGAUUUUAGUAUAACUAAUUUGAAAAAAACUUUAAACAUUUCAUCUUUACCUCAUUAUUUA